rnacentral:rRNA from 1 species
AGAGUUUGAUCCUGGCUCAGGACGAACGCUGGCGGCGUGCUUAACACAUGCAAGUCGAACGGAGAUAAAAGAGGAGUUUACUUUUCUUUUACCUAAGUGGCGGACGGGUGAGUAACGCGUGGAUAAUCUGCCUAAUAGCCUGGGAUAACGCCGGGAAACUGGUGCUAAUACCGGAUACGCUCCUUGCACUGCAUAGAAUGAGGAGGAAAGGGGAAACCCGCUGAUAGAUGAGUCCGCGUCCCAUUAGCUAGUUGGAGGGGUAACGGCCCCCAAGGCGACGAUGGGUAGCCGGCCUGAGAGGGCGACCGGCCACACUGGAACUGAGACACGGUCCAGACUCCUACGGGAGGCAGCAGUGGGGAAUCUUCCGCAAUGGGCGCAAGCCUGACGGAGCAACGCCGCGUGAGUGAAGAAGGUUUUCGGAUCGUAAAACUCUGUCCGGGGGGAAGAAGCAAAUGACGGUACCCCUGGAGGAAGCCCCGGCUAACUACGUGCCAGCCGCCGCGGU